rnacentral:rRNA from 1 species
AUACGGAGGGUGCGAGCGUUGAUCGGAAUUACUGGGCGUAAAGCGUACGUAGGCGGUUGGUUAAGUUAGAUGUGAAAGCCCCGGGCUUAACCUGGGAACUGCAUUUAAAACUGGCGAACUAGAGUUGAGUAGAGGGGAGUGGAAUUUCAGGUGUAGCGGUGAAAUGCGUAGAGAUCUGAAGGAACACCAGUGGCGAAGGCGACUCCCUGGACUCGAACUGACGCUGAGGUACGAAAGCGUGGGUAGCAAACGGGAUUAGAAACCCCAGUAGUCC